rnacentral:rRNA from 1 species
GGACUACCCGGGUAUCUAAUCCUGUUUGCUCCCCACGCUUUCGCACCUCAGCGUCAGUGUCUGCCCAGAUCGCCGCCUUCGCCACUGGUGUUCCUCCCGAUAUCUACGAAUUUCACCUCUACACCGGGAAUUCCGCGAUCCUCUUCAGCACUCAAGCUCCGCAGUUUCGUAUGCACGUCCUCGGUUGAGCCGAGGGAUUUCACAUCCGACUUGCGAAGCCGCCUACGUGCGCUUUACGCCCAAUGAUUCCGAGCAACGUUUGCACCCUUCGUAUUACCGCGGCGGCUGGCAC